rnacentral:rRNA from 1 species
AACGAACGCUGGCGGCAUGCCUAACACAUGCAAGUCGAACGAGACCUUCGGGUCUAGUGGCUCACGGGUGCGUAACGCGUGGGAACCUGCCCUUAGGUUCGGAAUAACUCCCCGAAAGGGGUGCUAAUACCGGAUAAUGUCUUCGGACCAAAGAUUUGACGCCUUUGGAUGGGCCGGCGUUGGAUUAGCUAGUUGGUAGGGUAAAAGCCUACCAAGGCGACGAUCCAUAGCUGGUCUGAGAGGAUGAUCCGCCACACUGGGACUGAGACACGGCCCAGACUCCUGCGCGAGGCAGCAGUGCGGAAUAUUGGAAAAUGGGCGAAAGCCUGAUCCAGCUAUGCCGCGUGAGUGAUGAAGGCCUUAGGGUUGUAAAGCUCUUUUACCCGGGAUGAUAAUGACAGUACCGGGAGAAUAAGCACCGGCUAACUCCGUG